CUCUCUGUCAUCCUUUGCGUCCUACGAGAUCCCCCCGCCGCCGCUCUCGUCGCAGAGCUCUCUCUGCCGACGCUCUCAUCGCAUCUGCUCCUUCUGGAACCUCUUCCAUCUAAUCUCAACUCGCUCUCUCAGUUCUUCUUGUAACCAUCUCAAAUUUCAGUGUUACAGCUCAAGAUCUUGUUGACACUAUGCUUCUAAAUUUGCUUCUAAAUUUCUGAUAUCUUCACUCUUAACGAUGGAUCUGUAACGCCUCUACUCAAGAGCAUGACAGUGCAUAAUAUGUAUGUUGGAGAGGGUUCAGAC